GAAAGGUAAAACAGUAAUUGAACUGAUCUUGUUCUGCUAAGACUGGUCUUAUAAUUUGUUGAAAUGUAUUUAUUGGUACAGCUGGAAAUAGAAAAUCAGGUCUCAUUUCUUCCUGCUGUUUGGCAAAGGCUACACUGGGGAAGUGACCAUAGAGUUUAAGCCCAGAGGCUUUAACAAAUACUGUGCCUGGUUAAAUAUACCACUUCCACACAGGAGAAAACCCUGCUCUCUUUUUUUUUUUUAAGUUGUAGAUGAACAAAUACCUUUAUUUUGUUUGUUUAUUUUUAUGUGGUGCUGAGGAUUGAACCCAGUGCCUCACACAUGCAAGGCAAGCACUCAACCACUGAGCCACAACCCCAGCCCAAAACCCUGUUCUUUUAAUUUGUG
rnacentral:lncRNA from 1 species